rnacentral:rRNA from 1 species
GCAGCAGCCACGGUAAUACGAAGGGGGCUAGCGUUGCUCGGAAUUACUGGGCGUAAAGCGUGCGCAGGCGGUUAUAUAAGACAGAUGUGAAAUCCCCGGGCUCAACCUGGGAACUGCAUUUGUGACUGUAUAGCUAGAGUACGGCAGAGGGGGAUGGAAUUCCGCGUGUAGCAGUGAAAUGCGUAGAUAUGCGGAGGAACACCGAUGGCGAAGGCAAUCCCCUGGGCCUGUACUGACGCUCAUGCACGAAAGCGUGGGGAGCAAACAGGAUUAGAUACCCCAGUAGUCCCUGUCUCUUAUAC